GCGCCCUUAGCUCAGUUGGUAGAGCAACUGACUCUUAAUCAGUGGGUCGAAAGUUCGAAUCUUUCAGGGCGCA
rfam:Candidatus Brocadia sinica JPN1 DNA, contig: brosiA.